UACGGAGGGGGCUAGCGUUGUUCGGAAUUACUGGGCGUAAAGCGCACGUAGGCGGCUUUGUAAGUUAGAGGUGAAAGCCCAGGGCUCAACUCUGGAACUGCCUUUAAGACUGCGAGGCUUGAACACGGGAGAGGUGAGUGGAAUUCCGAGUGUAGAGGUGAAAUUCGUAGAUAUUCGGAAGAACACCAGUGGCGAAGGCGGCUCACUGGACCGUUGUUGACGCUGAGGUGCGAAAGCGUGGGGAGCAAACAGG
rnacentral:rRNA from 1 species